CAGCAGCCGCGGUAAUACGUAGGUGGCAAGCGUUGUCCGGAAUUAUUGGGCGUAAAGCGCGCGCAGGCGGAUAGGUCAGUCUGUCUUAAAAGUUCGGGGCUUAACCCCGUGAUGGGAUGGAAACUGCCAAUCUAGAGUACCGGAGAGGAAAGUGGAAUUCCUAGUGUAGCGGUGAAAUGCGUAGAUAUUAGGAAGAACACCAGUGGCGAAGGCGACUUUCUGGACGAAAACUGACGCUGAGGCGCGAAAGCCAGGGGAGCGAACGGGAUUAGAGACCCCAGUAGUCCCUGUCUCUUAUACA
rnacentral:rRNA from 1 species